rnacentral:misc_RNA from 1 species
UCCUGGUUAACCCAGGCAGUCUCAUUAGAGUGCCCACCUAAAAUGCUGGCAACUAAUGAUAAGGGUUGCGCUCGUUGCUGGACUUAACCAAACACCUCACGGCACGAGCUGACGACAGCCAUGCAGCACCUGUGUAAAGGCCCCGAAGGGAGAUGUUAUUUCUAACACUGUCCUCUACAUGUCAAGUCUGGGUAAGGUUCUUCGCGUUGCAUCGAAUUAAACCACAUGCUCCACUGCUUGUGCGGGUCCCCGUCAAUUCUUUUGAGUUUCACCCUUGCGAGUGUACUCCCCAGGCGGUAUACUUAACGCGUUCGCUUCGGCACAACUAGGGUUGAUUCCAGUUACACCAAGUAUACAUAGUUUACGGCAAGGACUAC